CAAACGUUGUUCGGAAUUACUGGGCGUAAAGCGCGUGUAGGCGGCCCUGCAAGUCGGAUGUGAAAUCCCACGGCUCAACCGUGGAAGUGCAUUCGAAACUGCAGGGCUAGAGUCCUGGAGAGGAAGGUGGAAUGCUUGGUGUAGAGGUGAAAUUCGUAGAUAUCAAGCGGAACACCGGUGGCGAAGGCGGCCUUCUGGACAGUGACUGACGCUGAGACGCGAAAGCGUGGGGAGCAAACAGG
rnacentral:rRNA from 1 species